rnacentral:rRNA from 1 species
UUUUAAACGGGCUGCGGUAUUUUGACCGUGCUAAGGUAGCAUAAUCAAUUGUUUUUUAAUUGAAAACUAGUAUGAACGGUUUAAUUUACUUAAUUAGUUUGUAAUUUUUAAUAGUAAGUUAAAUAUAAAGUAAGAAUUCUUUAAUAAAUUAGGGGACGAUAAGACCCUAAAAGCUUUAUGAUUGGCAUUUAAUUGGUGAUAGCGGUGUUAUUAAUUCACUGGGGCAGUGAGUUUAGGUACAUUUAAGUAUAAUUAAAAGCUCCUUUAAAUAAAGAUUUCAUGUAUAAGUUACUUUAGGGAUAACAGUGCAAUAUAUUUGGGGAGACCAUAUCUAUAAAUAUGAUUGCAACCUCGAUGUUGAAAUUAAAAUA